rnacentral:rRNA from 1 species
GACAGAGGGUGCAAACGUUGUUCGGAAUUACUGGGCGUAAAGCGUGUGUAGGCGGUCCGCUAAGUCGGGUGUGAAAGCCCCGGGCUCAACCCGGGAAGUGCACUCGAAACUGGCAGGCUAGAGUAUCGGAGAGGUUGGUGGAAUUCUCGGUGUAGAGGUGAAAUUCGUAGAUAUCGAGAGGAACACCGGUGGCGAAGGCGGCCAACUGGACGAAUACUGACGCUGAGACACGAAAGCGUGGGGAGCAAACAGG